GGAUUAUGGAGUCCAAUGUCACCAUUUGGAAGUGUCUUGGAUGAAGCUCUUCCAGAUUCCCAUCAGUUUUUUCAUUGAAGAGUCCUUUGGCAUCGAAGGACGCUUGGCGGAGGAGCUCGAGGCUGCCUUCAACGUCAAAUGAGGAUGACUUUUUUGCAACGGUGGCCUUUUUCACUGGCUUAUCUGAAGCUUUGCUCACCAAAG